rnacentral:tRNA from 1 species
GAGUGUUUAUGUUCAAGGUGAACAUCCUGGACUUCAAAUCCAGUGGCAGGCAGGUAGACCUGUCUGUGGUGGGUUCGAUUCCCAUACAUUC